GAGAAUUUUCUAAAGUGUUACUGCUAAUAACACAAAGAGCUUUAAUGCUCAAUUCUCU
rnacentral:tRNA from 1 species